GUUAUAUGGUCAAGUGAAUAAGCGCAUAUAGUGGAUGCCUUGGCGGUAGAAGGCGAUGAAGGACGUUGUAGCUUGCGAUAAGCCUCAGGAGUCAGCAAACAGACUUUGAUCAGGGAUUUCCGAAUGGAAACCCACCCUUUAUGGGUACCACGUUUGUGGGGCGAACCCGGGAACUGAAACAUCUAAGUACCCGGAGGAACAGAAAUCAACCGAUAUUCCCCAGUAGCGGCGAGCGAAAGGGAUCAGCCUAUCUAGCAGUGAAUAGUGGAACGGUCUGGAAAGUCCGGCGAUACAGGGUGAUAGCCCGUACACGAAAUGACCUGCAGGAGAUAUCAAGUAGGGCGGAGCACGUGAAACUCUGUCUGAAGAUGGGGGACCACCCUCCAGGCUAAAUACUCUCUACCGACCGAUAGUGAACCAGUACCGUGAGGGAAAGGCGAAAAGAACCCCGUUGAGGGUGAAAUAGAACCUGAAACCGUAUGCGUACAAGCAGUCAGAGCCUGCAAGGGUGACGGCGUACCUUUAUAUAAUGGGUCAGCGACUUACUUCUCAGUAGCAAGCUUAACCGUAUAGGGAGGCGUAGGGAAACCGAGUCUUAAUAGGGCGUUUAGUUGCUGGGAGUAGACCCGAAACCGGGCGAUCUAGCCAUGGCCAGGUUGAAGGUGGGGUAACACCACUGGAGGACCGAACCGGGAUCUGUUGAAAAAGAUUCGGAUGAGCUGUGGCUCAGGUGAAAGGCUAAUCAAGCUCAGGAGAUAUCUGGUUCUCCUCGAAAGCUAUUUAGGUAGCGCCUCGUGUAUCACCUCAGGGUGAAGCACUGUUUCGGCUGAGGGUCAUCCCGACUUACAAACCGAUGCAAACUCCGAAUACCUGAGAGUGCAAUCACAGGAGACACACGGCGGGUGCUAACGUCCGUCGUGAAAGGAAGCCAACCCAGACCGCCAGCUAAGGUCCCCAAAUCACAACUCAGUGGGAAACGAUGUGGGAAGGCACAGACAGCCAGGAGGUUGGCUUAGAAGCAGCCAUCCUUUAAAGAAAGCGUAAUAGCUCACUGGUCGAGUCGGCCUGCGCGGAAGAUUUAACGGGGCUUAAGUUGUGUACCGAAGCUGCGGAUGCCGCAAGGCAUGGUAGAGGAGCGUUCUGUAAGCCGUCGAAGGUGUGCUGUGAGGCAUGCUGGAGGUAUCAGAAGUGCGAAUGCUGACAUGAGUAACGAUAAGAGGGGUGAGAGGCCCCUCCGCCGAAAGCCCAAGGUUUCCUGCGCAACGCUAAUCGGCGCAGGGUUAGUCGGCCCCUAAGGCGAGGCAGAAAUGCGUAGUCGAUGGGAAUCAGGCUAAUAUUCCUGAACUUUCUAUAACUGCGAUGGAGGGACGGAGAAGGCUAGGCCAUCCUGGCGACGGUUGUCCAGGUCCAAGCGCGUAGGGAGUGUUCUUAGGCAAAUCCGGGAACACAAUCCUGAAACGUGAUGGGGAGGCUCCACGGAGCCGAAGUGGUUGAUGCCAUGCUUCCAGGAAAAGCUCCUAAGCUUCAGCUUAUAGAGAACCGUACUCCAAACCGACACAGGUGGGCAGGGUGAGUAUCCCAAGGCGCUUGAGAGAACUCGGGUGAAGAACUAGGCAAAAUGGUACCGUAACUUCGGGAGAAGGUACGCCCCUGGAGGUAUAGCUUCUGGGGCCGCAGUGAACUAGUGGCUGCAACUGUUUAUUAAAAACACAGCACUCUGCAAACACGAAAGUGGAAGUAUAGGGUGUGACGCCUGCCCAGUGCCGGAAGGUUAAUUGAUGGGGUUAGCGUAAGCGAAGCUCUUGAUCGAAGCCCGGUAAACGGCGGCCGUAACUAUAACGGUCCUAAGGUAGCGAAAUUCCUUGUCGGGUAAGUUCCGACCUGCACGAAUGGCGUAAUGAUGGCCACACUGUCUCCACCGAGACUCAGUGAAAUUGAAAUCGCUGUUAAGAUGCAGCGUUCCCGCAGCUAGACGGAAAGACCCCGUGAACCUUUACUAUAGCUUUACACUGGACUUUGAGCCUAUUUGUGUAGGAUAGGUGGGAGGCUUUGAAGCCGGAUCGCCAGAUUCAGUGGAGCCAACCUUGAAAUACCACCCUGGUAUGUUCGAAGUUCUAACCAGGCGUUACAGCGUCGGGGACAGUGUAUGGUGGGUAGUUUGACUGGGGCGGUCUCCUCCCAAGAAGUAACGGAGGAGCACGAAGGUACCCUAAGUACGGUCGGACAUCGUACGGUUAGUGCAAAGGCAUAAGGGUGCUUGACUGCAGACGACAUAUCGAGCAGGUACGAAAGUAGAGUCUUAGUGAUCCGGUGGUUCUGUGGGAAGGGCCAUCGCUCAACGGAUAAAAGGUACUCAGGGAUAACAGGCUGAUACCGCCCAAGAGUUCAUAUCGACGGCGGUGUUUGGCACCUCGAUGUCGGCUCAUCACAUCCUGGGGCUGAAGUCGGUCCCAAGGGUAUGGCUGUUCGCCAUUUAAAGUGGUACGCGAGCUGGGUUUAGAACGUCGUGAGACAGUUCGGUCCCUAUCUGCCGUGGGCGUUUGAGAAUUGAGGGAAGCUGCUCCUAGUACGAGAGGACCGGAGUGGACGAUCCUCUGGUGUUCCGGUUAUCACGCCAGUGGUAUUGCCGGGUAGCUAUGAUCGGACAGGAUAACCGCUGAAAGCAUCUAAGCGGGAAGCCCCUCCCAAGAUAAAUUCUCACCAGACUCUUGAAGUCUCUAAAGGGCCGUUGAAGACGACGACGUUGAUAGGCUGGGUGUGGAAGUGCAGUAAUGUAUGAAGCUAACCAGUACUAAUUGCCCGUGAGGCUUGACCAUAUAACGCCCAA
rnacentral:rRNA from 1 species